rnacentral:lncRNA from 10 species
CAUGUAAGACCUAAUAGGCCUUGGUGAGGAAUUUGAUCUUUAUCCUCCCCUUCUCCCCCCAACAAGCUACAUGCAGGUGAUGUCCAGGAGGACUUCCAUCCUGGAGAGAUUCAGGAGGCAGAAGAAAGGAGACUUAGGGACUUGUUAGCCUUCAACUACAGAGGGCGGGUGAUGAGAAGAGGAGCAGAGAAUAUGGUAAUGAGAGGGGUGAAGAGGGGCCAGGGAAGGGCAGAUACCAUGACAGUACGUCCUGUGAGCUAGGGCCAGCCUAGCCCUAGCCAGGCUAGAUCAGAAUGCAGGACCAAGGACCAAGCCCUGGGGGAAGGGCUUUACUACACAGGCCGUCCUCCCCUCCACUCUCCAGGAUCCUUUGAGGUUGCCUUCCCUGAUGCUGCGGAGAAAAUGAAGAAGGUCAUUACACAGCUUAAAGAAGGUAAAAUACACUCCAUCUCUCCUUCCCCAGACACACACACACACAAUUAGAAAACCCCACUUUUGGCCGGGGAUGGUGGCUCACGCCUGUAAUCCCAGCACUUUGGAAGGCUGAGGCGGGCAGAUCACUUGAGAUCAGGAGUUCAAAAGCAGUCUGACCAACAUGGUGAUACCCAUAUCUACUAAAGAUACUAAAAUUAGCUGGGCGUGGUAACGCAUGCUUGUAAUCUCAUCUACUCAGGAGGCUGAGGCAGGAAAAUUGCUUGAACCCUGGAGGCGGGGUUGCAGUGACCCGAGAUCGGCACUCCAGCCUGGGUGACAGAGCAAGACUCCAUCUCAAAACGAAACCCACUCCUGAGACCCCCCAUCCACUCCCCGUACAAUCCCCUGGCCCCAUCUCUGAGCCUCAGACCUUGAGGGACGACUAUUUCCCCGCGUGGACCAUUUUUGAUCUGGCCCCGCCCCUUCGAUGAAAGGUUUCGUCUCCAACUGAGCCCCUUUCCGGGACUACUACUAACCUGGCCACGCCUCUUCUCUAACUGGGCCACCACCUUAGCCUUGGUCUCCUGCAAGGAUCGCCCAGGAUCUAGCCCCGCCUCCUCGGUGGAAUACACCUGGAUUGCCCAUCCCCAUCAGGGCCUACAGAAAACCAGUGUGUUUCCCUCUAAACCCCAAGUAGAAGGCUGGCAGCAGUCCUGGGCCUGACCUCCUAGUGGAAUGCUCAGGCUUGGCCCCGGCCCCAGGUGGAACCCAGCCGGCUUGACCCCGCCCCCAGGUUAUGACGAAAGCUUGGCCCCGCCCCCUCGGAGCAAUGCUUCGGGCCUUGUAACAUUAGCUAGGGGAGCAUCGGGCAAGGGUUCUUCCCAUGACUGUAAGGUAGUGAUGUUUCCUCUUCCUCCACAGCCCAGGCUUGCAUCCCUCCCUGCGGUAAGGACUUCAUCUAAAACUUGGAAAUUGCGGGGUAAGGGAGGCGGUCGGGGACGAAACGUACGACAUCAAGUGUGGGAAAGCGGGUGGGCUUCACAUCCUUAGGAAGCCAAUAAGAUCCCUGGAGAAAAGGAAGAAAACCAAGUAUUGCUCUAAAUCCUCAGAAGGUGUGUGUGAGAGCCGAAGCAAACCAAUAGGAAUCCUAGAGGGCGGAGAGGAGUGAGAGUCGGCCAAAGACAGCAGGGAGGGCGGGGUCAAGAUGCCACCUGGCCGAUGGACCCCGGGAAGCUGCAUGGAUCUCAAAUGGGCCAAGGGCCCCGGGCUUGGAAGGGCAGGUGGCGCCUAGACCCAGCGUUCCCGCUCCACAGGUCUCCAGGAGUUCGCCCGGCGUUUCCUCUGCAGCGGGUGCUACUCUAGGGUCUGCGACCUCCCGCUGGACUGCCCAGUUCAGGAUGUGACAGUGACUCGGGGCGACCAGGCUAUGUUUUCUUGCAUCGUAAACUUCCAGCUGCCAAAGGAGGAGAUCACCUAUUCCUGGAAGUUCGCAGGAGGAGGUGUGAGUCGGGGCGGGGCCGGCGCGAAGAGUUUAGACGGGCGAGUUAGCCUUCACUAGAGGUUGGGGAGUCAGCUUGCGGGGACGGGACUCCGGGAAUCUCCGUCUAGACACAAGCAUCAGCAAGAGGAGGGUCGCGGGAUUUAGGGGAGAGCUCGAAGAUCAGAAUGCAGGACCAAGGACCUGGGGCGAUGGCUCACGCCUGUAAUCCCAGCGCUUUUGGAGACCAAGGCGGGAGGAUGGCUUGAGCCCAGGAGUUUGAGACCGGCCUCGGCAACAAAUUAAGACCC